rnacentral:tRNA from 4 species
CAAGAUAUAGCUUAAACAAAGCACCUAGUUUACACCUAGAAGAUUUCACAUGUCACGAAUAUCUUGA